UCACUGCAACAACAACUUAAAGAGCCCAUUUUGAAACAGUACUCUGUAGUUCCAGAAGAUUAUCACUGAAUAUGGGAAUUAAUUUGCAGAGUAAUAAGUCACUGUAGUAACAGCACAGGAAAUAAAAGGUAAGGAAAUAAAAGAUUAUUCUGCGAGUGUUAUCAACAAAAAUCUCUUAUCUUUUAAAGCCACAAUGCUGUUGUCACAGUCAACUCUCAGUGGCUGUGGUCAUGCUAUGUUAGUGCUCACUUUCACAUGGGGAGCUGAAUGACAGUGAGGAGAAGGGACUUCCUCUUUCUCGAGCACAGUCAGCUUCCUCUGCUUUCCACCAAGAUUACAAAAAGUGGAAUCAACCUUGUAGCUGAGUGUGCGUGGUGGCCUGUGACCACGGCCUUCAUCGCCAGAGAGAAGGAAGUGAUUAUUCCAUUUUAUAGAGAAGGGGAUGUCCAAAACAGAAAGUGGCUUCUGGUGUGGGUAUUUUUCCAUUCACCAAACAUCGCUAGCUGUUAAGUGCAGUUAUAAACCUCUACAAGCUAUCUCCAGCAGGGGGCGGAGAAGCUUUCUGCUGCUAACGAGACGAGUGGACGGGAGAAAGCAAACGAAGUAGAGCGUCUCCCUCGGGCCGUAUAUCGUUGGAGCGGGUGACGUGUGAAGCUUCACAUCCAAAAGCGCGUUCCCGAAUAAGUGAAUGCGUCUUUUCACAUUGAAACGUUCGUGACAUUCUCCGUGUCAGUGUGUUCAUUAAUAACACAUAACACCACCUGCCCCACGCAGAAAAAAAGAAACCGGGCAUCCAAUGUGUCUCACAUAACCCACAGACACCAUCACCAUAGACGUCGCAAUCUCGGCAACCUCGUUUACUCAACGUUCAGCACCAUCAGAGACCCAGGUGUCAGGAGGGCUCUGGAACUGCCAGUCUGCUGUCCAGAAGGCUGACUUUCAGCACUAGCAUCCAUCACUUCCUGGCUCUGAGACCCGGAUCGCGCCUGAGAACUUGGCGACUCCGACUGCCCCGUCCUCUGCCUCUUCCAAGUGAGGAGCGCCCGGCUCCACAACACUCAGUGUUCAGGACACAAGACAAAAGUUCUAGUCAGUGCGAGAGCAACACCGUUUAAACACCUUCUGGCUGUUGUGUGUGUACUCUACACAGCCUGAGUUCUGCGUGUUUGCUACCCCCCCGUCAGACAGGCAGUGCCCCUUUCAGAACAACGUCCUGCUAUGCCUUCUGACUGUCAGGAGUGUAAGGAGGUACACACAUUGAGUGAGCAUGUAAAGGAAAAGGUUGGUAGAUGUAAAACUGAUGUAAAUUUCAUUGUUUAUUGUUGCAAAAAAAUAAACCAUACAUUUAUUCUUAA